GUAGGGAAUCUUGGUCAAUUGGCGAAAGCCAGAACCAGUCAUGCCGCGUGCAGGAUGAAGGCCCUACGGGUCGUAAACUGCUUUUAUUCGGGAAGAAAAAGUCUGUUUCCACAGACCUUGACGGUACCGAUUGAAUAAGGACCGGCCAACUCCGUGCCAGCAGCCGCGGUAAUACGGAGGGUCCAAGCGUUAUCCGGAUUCACUGGGUUUAAAGGGUGCGCAGGCGGCCAAGUAAGUCAGUGGUGAAAGCCUUCGGCUCAACCGGAGAAUUGCCAUUGAAACUACUUGGCUUGAGUGCAGCAGAGGUAGGCGGAAUGUAGCAUGUAGCGGUGAAAUGCAUAGAUAUGCUACAGAACACCGAUAGCGAAAGCAGCUUACCACACUGUAACUGACGCUGAGGCACGAAAGCAUGGGUAGCAAACAGGAUUAGAU
rnacentral:rRNA from 1 species